rnacentral:rRNA from 1 species
GACGAACGCUGGCGGCGUGCUUAACACAUGCAAGUCGAACGGAAAGGCCCUGCUUUUGUGGGGUGCUCGAGUGGCGAACGGGUGAGUAACACGUGAGUAACCUGCCCUUGACUUUGGGAUAACUUCAGGAAACUGGGGCUAAUACCGGAUAGGAGCUCCUGCUGCAGGGUGGGGGUUGGAAAGUUUCGGCGGUUGGGGAUGGACUCGCGGCUUAUCAGCUUGUUGGUGGGGUAGUGGCUUACCAAGGCUUUGACGGGUAGCCGGCCUGAGAGGGUGACCGGCCACAUUGGGACUGAGAUACGGCCCAGACUCCUACGGGAGGCAGCAGUGGGGAAUAUUGCACAAUGGGACGAAGCCUGAUGCAGCAACGCCGCGUGCGGGAUGACGGCCUUCGGGUUGUAAACCGCUUUCGCCUGUGACGAAGCGUGAGUGACGGUAAUGGGUAAAGAAGCACCGGCUAACUACGUG